rnacentral:rRNA from 1 species
UCGGGAAUUUUGGACAAUGGGCGCAAGCCUGAUCCAGCCAUACCGCGUGAGUGAAGAAGGCCUUCGGGUUGUAAAGCUCUUUCAGACGGAAAGAAACGGUUACGGCUAAUACCCGUGACUAAUGACGGUACCGUAAGAAGAAGCACCGGCUAACUACGUGCCAGCAGCCGCGGUAAUACGUAGGGUGCGAGCGUUAAUCGGAAUUACUGGGCGUAAAGCGCGCGCAGGCGGCGACAUAAGACAGAUGUGAAAUCCCCGGGCUCAACCUGGGAACUGCGUUUGUGACUGUGUUGCUAGAGUGUAGCAGAGGGGGUGGAAUUCCACGUGUAGCAGUGAAAUGCGUAGAGAUGUGGAGGAACACCGAUGGCGAAGGCAGCCCCCUGGGUUAACACUGACGCUCAUGCACGAAAGCGUGGGGAGCAAACAGGAUUAGAUACCCCAGUAGUCCCUGAGCGGGCUGGCAAGGCGCAU